rnacentral:rRNA from 1 species
UUCAUUAUUAACUGGGUGACGUAAGCUAACGCGUUAAGCGGGGCGCCUGGGGAGUACAACCGCAAGGUUAAAACUCAAAGGAAUUGACGGGGGAGCGCACAACCGGUGGAGCAUGUGGUUUAAUUCGAUACAAAGCGAAAAACCUUACCUGGGUUUGACAUAUACCUGCACGUUCUAUGAAAAUAGAAUUUCUUCGAGAGUGGUAUACAGGUGAUGCAUGGCUGUCGUCAGCUCGUGUCGUGAGACGUCCGCUUAAGUGCGGUAACGAGCGCAACCCUUGUCGUCAGUUAUACGUAUCUGACGAGACUGCCCUGCUGCUAGCAGGGAGGAAGGAGAGGACGACGUCAAGUCAGCAUGUCCCUUACAUCCAGGGCUACACACAUCCUACAAUGGGACUGACAACGGGUAGCGACAGGGCAACCUUGAGCUAAUCCUUAUAAACUGUCCCUCAGUUCAGAUUGCGGGCUGCAAUUCGCCCGCAUGAAGUCGGAAUCGGUAGUAAUCGCAAAUCAGCAGGUUGCGGUGAAUACGUUCUCGCUCCUUGUACACACUGCCCGUCAAGCCAGCAAAGUCGGCAGCACCCGAAACGGGUGACCAUAACCCUUAUGGGAAUGGCCCUUCUACGGUGAAGUCGGCGAUGAGGACUAAGUC